rnacentral:ribozyme from 14 species
AGAAAGAAAGAAAGAAAGAAAGAAAGAAAGAAAAGACGAAAAGCACUCUGUUCCUUUCUUUCUUUCCUUCCCUUUUCCUUUGUCUGCUGUUUCUUCCUCUCUCCCGGCACUACUAAUAGGACUUGGAGACAAGUCUGAGCUGUCCC